rnacentral:lncRNA from 1 species
GGACAAUCCAUCCACUCAUUCUUCCUUUUUUUCUUUCUUCAACAAAUAUUUAUUGAGCCUCUAUUAAGCGCCAGGUAUUCUUCUAGGACUGGGAUAUGGCAGGGAACAAGAUGAAGCAUUUUCUUCCAUGGGGUUUAUAGUCUAGCGCAGGGGUUGCCCAACUUUUCCAUAAACGUCCGGACAAUAAAUAUUUUAGGCUUUAUGGGCCACACAGCCUCUGUGACAACUACUUAACUCUGCCAUCAUAGGUGCCAAAGCUGUCAUAGAAAGACAAACAAAUGACCAUGGUUGUGUUCCAAUAAAAUUUUAUUUAUUAAAACAGAUGGCAAGACAAUUUGUCCUUUAAGCCAUGGCUUGCCAACCUCUGUUCUAAGUGGAAGGGGAAAGGAAAUGUCUAAGAUCGUUUCAGGACGUGAUAAUGCCUCGAAGAAACGUAAAGCUGGUCGAGGCCAUAGAAGGAAAUGAGGUGGGGGAGCCGCUAUUUCAGAAUGUUUGAGGUCUUCCUAAUGAAACGAAGCAAAGGAGCGCAUGAAGUGAGGCUGUCAGAGAGGAUGGGAUCCGGCACACGGUGGAAGGCUUGACUCGAAACAAGAGCCUGGACAAUUACUCUCUUAUAAUAGGAAAGAAGGCAAAAUAUAACAUUACAGAGGCAGGAACAAGAUAUAGCCAAUAUGACUCACGGCAGGUGAGAGGACACAGCUGGAGAAGAGCAAGUCCAGGCUUCCGCUUCCCUUGGGUGGCUGACUUCUAGAUCUGCAAUGCUUAAUCAUAAAAAAAAGGAAGCAAUGGUUGAGGACAUUAAAUGAGAAAUGUGUCUUCAAAGUACCUCGCCUGAAGAGCCAAGAUAAUUUACCAAGCCCGGAAAAGGGCAAGAGCACAUCAGGAUCAGGAUGGACACAACAGAGCUCAGUCUUGAGAAACAAUCGCAGGUUUGCUCUUUGUCUUAUUUUACGUUUCUGAACAAUCGCAGACUAAAUUUCAAAAACUUGACUAGGAUAUCAGCUAUCCUUUCUAUUGCAAACUCUAGUUGUUUUGCAUCAUUUCGAUCCAUGGACCAAAACGCAGAUAAAAAGGUUUCCUUCUCUAUGACAACUAAGCAACAAAGAAUUAUUUCUUCGUAAAAGAAGAGUUUCACACAGCUACAUUUUUUAUCAUUUAAGACCAAAUUCCUUUCAUUCUUCCUAAAUAAUCCAAAUAAUAACCAACACUAAUAAUGCUCCAGGCGUUACUCCUACUGCCCUC